rnacentral:miRNA from 14 species
UGUGUGUGUGUGUUCAGUGUGUGUGUGUGUAUGUGUGCGCACGUUGUUGAUAAUGGACAGUUGUGGCUUGUUCCCAGCUUGCUAAUGAUCAGUGUCUGACACAAACACACACACACACACACAGACACACACACACACA